GUUCAUUGUAGUGAAAUUUUAUAAUAGAUAUAGUACAAUCUUAUCUACAAACAUGCAUGCUUUGCCAUUCAACGGCUGUGAUCAAUGCAGCUUAUUAGUAUGAUAUAACACCCUUUCCCACUUUUUUGGGACAAGUUCGCAAAUGAAGAACAAAAUCUAUUUAUUCUCAGCCCCCCCCCAAAAAAAAAAGUUAGCAAUCUUUAUUCAAUAUGAACAACCCAGCUCAAAAUGUGACAAGGAAAAGCUUGAGCAUGUUUGUCUUAUACUAUACAUACUGGCAAUAGAUCACUCAAAAAUAGAAACUAUAAUUAUAUAUAACUAACAUAACAAAUUGGAAUUGAACUUGUACCUUUCUCACAAAGGUCAGUAAUUAUCUUAAAAAAGUACUGGUAUAUGCAUGCUGCAUAUCCUAAAUUUCAAAGCUCACAAACAUGUCUUCAGCUGACAUAAUAUGGUCACAUUUUGAAACAACUAACUCAAUGCAAACUGUGAUUGCCA